rnacentral:rRNA from 1 species
GAGGACCUUUGGCGGCGCGCCUAACACAUGCAAGUCGAACGAGCGAGAGGAGGUUUACUUUCUCAAGCGAGUGGCGAACGGGUGAGUAACGCGUGAGGAACCUGCCUCAAAGAGGGGGACAACAGUUGGAAACGACUGCUAAUACCGCAUAAGCCCACGGCUCGGCAUCGAGCAGAGGGAAAAGGAGCAAUCCGCUUUGAGAUGGCCUCGCGUCCGAUUAGCUGGUUGGUGAGGUAACGGCCCACCAAGGCGACGAUCGGUAGCCGGACUGAGAGGUUGAACGGCCACAUUGGGACUGAGACACGGCCCAGACUCCUACGGGAGGCAGCAGUGGGGAAUAUUGCACAAUGGGGGAAACCCUGAUGCAGCGACGCCGCGUGGAGGAAGAAGGUCUUCGGAUUGUAAACUCCUGUUGUUGAGGAAGAUAAUGACGGUACUCAACAAGGAAGUGACGGCUAACUACGUGCCAGCAGCCGCGGUAAAACGUAGGUCACAAGCGUUGUCCGGAAUUACUGGGUGUAAAGGGAGCGCAGGCGGGAAGACAAGUUGGAAGUGAAAUCCAUGGGCUCAACCCAUGAACUGCUUUCAAAACUGUUUUUCUUGAGUAGUGCAGAGGUAGGCGGAAUUCCCGGUGUAGCGGUGGAAUGCGUAGAUAUCGGGAGGAACACCAGUGGCGAAGGCGGCCUACUGGGCACCAACUGACGCUGAGGCUCGAAAGUGUGGGUAGCAAACAGG